CGACCGGCGCACGGGUGCGUAACGCGUAUGCAACCUACCUUUAACAGGGGGAUAACACUGAGAAAUUGGUACUAAUACCCCAUAAUAUCAUAGAAGGCAUCUUUUAUGGUUGAAAAUUCCGAUGGUUAGAGAUGGGCAUGCGUUGUAUUAGCUAGUUGGUGGGGUAACGGCUCACCAAGGCGACGAUACAUAGGGGGACUGAGAGGUUAACCCCCCCACACUGGUACUGAGACACGGACCAG
rnacentral:rRNA from 1 species